ensembl:lncRNA
UUCAGAAUCUUUCAUGCAUCAUAUAUAACAUUUCUUUUUUCAAUUGCACCUGGCAUAUCAAAGCAGAAGCUCCUGAAGAUAUCCAGAUCUUUAUCUCAUACAGACAUGUAGGAAAGGUUUUUGCAUGCCAGCAAUAUAUAAAAAAUGCAAGGAAGAAAAAUAUUGGGUGCUAUAUGAAAGAAAUACAUUUCCAACCAUCGAGGAAAAUAAAUCUGAACAUAACUGUAAGAAAUUUGAGAAAUAGUUCAAGAGGACUGUUUUAUUACAAAGCUUUCACACCUCAGACAAUAGAGAAGCUGAACCCACCAAUCAACGUCUCAGUUUCCCUUGAAAACAGAAGUAUUAAUAUUCAUUGGAAACCUCCACCUACUAUUGGUUCAGCAAGGAAAAAGUGUUUUUUGUACCAAGUGAAAAUAACAGAUCAGAAGAUUGAAAAUGUCACUGCAGAGAACUAUAAGUAUCCAUUUCAUAAGCCAGCAAAAAGAUGUGCAGCACAAGUGAGGGUAAAGAAAGAGACUUGCAUAUCAAACAAGAUCUGGAGCGAAUGGAGUGAGCCAGUGUUUAUUCAGGAUGAAAAGACAGUGGAUAUCCUGCUGCUAAGCCUCACAUUGUUUUGUGCUCUGGUUUUCCUUGGAGGUUUGCUGGUAUAUGCAUGUAAAAGGUACAGAUGCCUGGAAGUUUUAACCACACCUGUUCCACAUCCUUCAAAUAAUAUCAAAAUGUGGUUAGCAGAUGAGACUCACCACCAGAAACAUAUGUCAAUGCAAAUGGAGAUGAACUCAGAGGUUACUCUGGGAACACCAGAAGAGAACAGAGAUGAGAACAUUCGGCUGCAGAAAUGUUUGAAGGAACUCGUGUUAGAAGACCUAUAGAGAUGACAUGCCUUUUUUAUCUGCAUGCAAGUGUAUCUUCCCAUGAGGUGGGCAAUAUUCCAACAGAUCAAACAGCUGACAUGGGAGUUUGUCUGAGCCCAAUAACUUGUGCUAUGACAACAUGCAACUCUUAAAAUUAGCUUUGGAUCACAGACACAAAGCAGUAUCUCGCCGUUUGUCUCUGAAAAACUGAUCUUCAGAGCAUUAAAAUUAGAGCAUCUCAGAUAACAUGAACUAAUACUGAGGUCCACUUGGGUUAAAAUGAAAUUAAUGUUUCAUAAUGCUACAAUAGCUUCCAAGCACUGUCUGAUAGAUCAAGACCUUUUGAAGACUGGCUGUUCAGACAAAUCUCAUGCUAGCUAUUCCACAUCUGAUUGAAGUGGUCAUGAGAAAUGGUGGGUGCAGUAAAUGUUUCUGGAAACAGCAAGAGAAUCUCACAAGUGUUCUCUAAAACUGAAAACAAAGGAAAAAAUAUCCCUUUCUGAGUCGUUGUAAACACACAUCAACCAGAAAGGAGAGAUAUGUGUGAAGACAAGGUCUUCUAAUAUUGUGGACUUUGCAGUUGGUAAAAUAAGUAAAAUAAGUAAAAUGAGAAAACUUUAGAUGAGGUAAAGAAAACAAAUUUUUCUGCUGUAUUAUGAUUUUUUAAGUAAGUUUAGUUCAGAGAAGUUAUAAGUUCAGAACUGACCAAUUUUUGCUAUUUAUUUUUCCCUGUCCUAUUAAAGAAUAUUUCCUACUGAUUCCAUGAGGUGAUGAGCUAUGCUAGUCCAUAUUUAGGUCUAAAAUCAGGGCAGAUUAUUCUAACUCUUAGCUGGGAGUGUGUUUAUUUGAUUAGAAGAGAAUUAAUUGAUUUUGCAAGGAAGGUGUUUCUUUUCUGAAAGUGGGAAAUAAAAAUCAAUGAUGGACAUAAUUUUCUGGAAGG